UAUUUUGGUGCAUUCAAUUUAAUUUUUUUGAGCGAGUUCGCACUUGAUUUUUUAUUUAUUUUAAAUCCAUUUAUUUUCAUUAUUGUGUCAGAAAAAUCAAAAAAAUUAAAUAGGUAUAAUCAUGCUCUCAUUUUAAUUUUAUCAUGUUUAUAUAAAAAUGUGAAAUUUAUUUUAUUUAAGUGAUUUAAAUUGAUUUAAGCUUCUAGAAGGGAUAUUCUAGGCAUUUUUGAUUUGGUUAGCAAUGUUGUGUUUCUUUGGUCCAAUCGUAGCCUUUAAUUCAAAUUAAUCAGUGAUCCCAAUUGGAAGACACAUGGAUCCCUAUCCUCAAUUAUCCCUCUCAACCAAUGGUCCUUUGACACAUCACAAGAAAAAAGAAAAAACAAAAGUUAAAGAAGUAGUAAAGAAAAAAAUAGAGAUUUAGGACACAAAAGGGGCAGUUCUCAACGUCUCUUUGGACUCUCUCAUUAAGAGAGAUCUUUUUCUGAAAAGGACAAAAAAAAGAAAAUAAAUAAAUAAGUGAAAUAACUN
rnacentral:lncRNA from 1 species